rnacentral:lncRNA from 1 species
UUUUUUUUUUUUGAAGUUGUUAUUUUUAAUUAAGUUUAUUUUAAGAAAGUGUAUAAACAUGUGUGUUGUGUAUAUAUAUAUAUAACACUCCACAUAAAUAAUCACAUGUUUAUUAAUUUUUUUUUCCAAAUUUAUUAUUUUUUUUUUUUUUAAUAGCUUUUUUUUUUUUUUUUUAAUAGCUUUUUUUUUUUUUUUUAAUAGCUUUUUGUUUUUUUUUAAUAGCUUUUUGUUUUUUUUUAAUAGCUUUUUGUUUUUCCAGACAUUUGUUGUUUACACAUUUGAAUAAAAAAAAAAAAUAAAAAAAAAAAUGGAUAAUUCAUAUAACAUAAAUACAACUGUUCAAUUAGCGAACACAUUAAAACAAAAGAUAAUUGAUUUAAGUGACAUUUUAAAAUCUCGAUUGGGUGUUUUUUGUGAAAAUACUGAUAUAUUACAAGUAUAUGAUGAAAGUUAUAUUAUUUCUAAUAAAUUGUAUAAUUCCUUGUAUAACUCCUGGAGGGUUGAAGACCUUAAUAAUUUUAGUAUAAAUAGUAUAUUUAAUAUAUUAAAAAGGAAUAGUUAUGUCAAUGUUUAUGUUACUUUACUUAUAUUUUUGACUAUUUUUUAUUUCUUUUUUUUUAUAUGUUAUACUAAAUGUUUUAAGAAGUUAAUAAAAAAGAUUUAUGCGUUUUUUGAUAAAAAAAAUAAAAAUCAUGAAGAAGAUGAAAAUUUAUUAACUGAUACAAGCAAAAUAGUCGGAGUGAAUGAAUCAGACCAAUCUAUCGAUAAAGCAGAAAAUGGAAUGGCAAGACAUACAUCAUAUGAUAUAAAUAAGUAUAAAAACUAUAUUACGGUAUUAAAAAAUAAUAAAUGGUUUAAUAUAUUCUUUUAUUUGUUAUUACUUAGUUUAGUAACUACUUUUACUCUUUUUUAUUCAAAGACUAUAAAUCGUUUUGCAGUUGUUAAUAAUGGAGUUAAAUCUAGUUUUUGUCGCGUAUAUAAAAUUAGUGAAAAAUAUAUAAGUGAAAAUUGCUCUGAAACAGUAAACAUGCAUAAUGAACCUUGUCUCUCUGCUUAUUCAAUUGUUGAUGAUGCUACGAAAAUUUUCCACAAAUAUGAAUCCAUUAAGACUAUUUUAAAAGAUAUGGGACUUCUUUCAAAUGAGCAAAUAAUUCCUUUCUUUAAAAGUAAAGUACAUGUAAAUGGUUUUAUAAAAAGUGUGCAUUUCUUUGUACACAUGCAUGCUGAUUUUUUUUGCACCUUCACUUUAUUUUUUUUUUUUUUUUU